GUGCUCACUUCGGCAGCACAUAUACUAAAAUUGGAAUGAUACUGAGAAGAUUAGCAUGGCCCCUUCACAAGGAUGAUAUGCAAAUUCUUAAAGCAUUCCAUUUUUUA
rfam:Myotis brandtii contig168039, whole genome shotgun sequence.